rnacentral:rRNA from 1 species
UUAUCAGAGAGUUUGAUCCUGGCUCAGGAUGAACGCUGGCGGCGUGCUUAACACAUGCAAGUCGAACGAAGCACUUUAGAUGAGAUCUUCGGAUGGAUUCUGGAAUGACUGAGUGGCGGACGGGUGAGUAACGCGUGGGCAACCUGCCU